CGGAUCUAGUGGCGCACGGGUGCGUAACGCGUGGGAAUCUGCCCUUAGGUACGGAAUAACUCUCCGAAAGGGGUGCUAAUACCGUAUGAUGACGAAAGUCCAAAGAUUUAUCGCCUAGGGAUGAGCCCGCGUAGGAUUAGCUAGUUGGUGAGGUAAAGGCUCACCAAGGCGACGAUCCUUAGCUGGUCUGAGAGGAUGAUCAGCCACACUGGGACUGAGACACGGCCCAGACUCC
rnacentral:rRNA from 1 species